rnacentral:rRNA from 1 species
AGUGAACGCUGGCGGCGUGCUUAACACAUGCAAGUCGAACGAGAACGGAGUAUAGCUUGCUAUAAUUGUCAGCUAAGUGGCGCACGGGUGAGUAAUGUAUAGGUAAUAUGCCUCUUACUAAGGGAUAACAAAUGGAAACGUUUGCUAAUACCUUAUACUCCUUAUUAACAUACGUUAAUAAGGGAAAGAUUUAUUGGUAAGAGAUUAGCCUGUAUUGUAUCAGUUAGUUGGUGGGGUAAUGGCUUACCAAGACUAUGACACAUAACUGGUUUGAGAGGAUGAUCAGUCACACUGGAACUGAGACACGGUCCAGACUCCUACGGGAGGCAGCAGUGGGGAAUAUUGCACAAUGGACGAAAGUCUGAUGCAGCAACGCCGCGUGGAGGAUGACACAUUUCGGUGCGUAAACUCCUUUUAUAUGAGAAGAUAAUGACGGUAUUAUAUGAAUAAGCACCGGCUAACUCCGUGCCAGCAGCCGCCGUAA